rnacentral:lncRNA from 1 species
GGGGGUCAGACAAAAGUUUGUUUAGUAACCAUGAUUAGAAAGGCAAUAAACCAGAAAGAUUAAAUUUAAAACCGUGGGAAAGUCAAACCAGCUCUACUAAUACUGCCUCGAGAAAGUCGUCUGGGAAAAAAAUCACUGGGUUAUAUUUGGGGCCCAAUAUCUGUCCUGAUCUGGAAGUUAAGAUUUACUUUACGAGCAAUUUAAUUUAUUUUUGAGCAAUUCACCAAUUUUUAUAUGGAAACAUAUGAUUUGUUUGUAAUAUGUUUUGACCAUAUUUUCA